rnacentral:rRNA from 1 species
GGCGGACGGGUGAGUAACGCGUGGGCAACCUACCCAUAAGCGGGGGAUAACAAGUUGGAAACGACUGCUAAUACCGCAUAAGCUAUUGAGGUCGCAUGACCUAAAUAGUAAAGGUGGCGAAAGCUAUCACUUAUGGAUGGGCCCGCGUCUGAUUAGCUAGUUGGUGGGAUAGCAGCCUACCAAGGCAACGGAUCAGUAGCCGGCCUGAGAGGGUGGACGGCCACACUGGGACUGAGACACGGCCCAGACUCCUACGGGAGGCAGCAGUGGGGAAUAUUGCGCAAUGGGGGAAACCCUGACGCAGCGACGCCGCGUGAGCGAAGAAGGCCUUAGGGUCGUAAAGCUCUGUUGUAAGGGACGAAUGUUUAUCUGGCGAACAGUCAGAUAAAGUGACGGUACCUUACCAGCAAGCCCCGGCUAACUACGUGCCAGCCGCCGC